UACGUAGGGGGCAAGCGUUGUCCGGAAUCAUUGGGCGUAAAGCGCGCGCAGGCGGUCCUUUAAGUCUGAUGUGAAAGCCCACGGCUCAACCGUGGAGGGUCAUUGGAAACUGGGGGACUUGAGUACAGAAGAGAAGAGUGGAAUUCCACGUGUAGCGGUGAAAUGCGUAGAGAUGUGGAGGAACACCGGUGGCGAAGGCGGCCUGCUGGGCAGUUGCUGACACUGAGGCGCGACAGCGUGGGGAGCAAACAGGC
rnacentral:rRNA from 1 species